AACGAACGCUGGCGGCAGGCUUAACACAUGCAAGUCGAGCGCCCCGCAAGGGGAGCGGCAGACGGGUGAGUAACGCGUGGGAAUCUACCCAUCUCUACGGAACAACUCCGGGAAACUGGAGCUAAUACCGUAUACGUCCUUCGGGAGAAAGAUUUAUCGGAGAUGGAUGAGCCCGCGUUGGAUUAGCUAGUUGGUGGGGUAAUGGCCUACCAAGGCGACGAUCCAUAGCUGGUCUGAGAGGAUGAUCAGCCACACUGGGACUGAGACACGGCCCAGACUCCUACGGGAGGCAGUAGUGGGGAAUAUUGGACAAUGGGCGAAAGCCUGAUCCAGCCAUGCCGCGUGAGUGAUGAAGGCCCUAGGGUUGUAAAGCUCUUUCACCGGUGAAGAUAAUGACGGUAACCGGAGAAGAAGCCCCGGCUAACUUCGUGCCAGCAGCCGCAGUAAGAC
rnacentral:rRNA from 1 species